GUCCCUAUCUUUCGUGGGCGCAGGAUAUUUGAGGAGAACUGUUCUUAGUACGAGAGGACCGGAAUGGACGAACCAAUGGUGUUCCUGUUGUUUUGCCAAGGGCAUAGCAGGGUAGCCAAGUUCGGAAAGGAUAACCGCUGAAAGCAUCUAAGCGGGAAGCCAACUUCAAGAUAAGAUAUCCCAUCUGAGCAAUCAGACUAAAGACCCCUUGAAGACUACAAGGUUGAUAGGUUGGGUGUGUAAGUGCAGUAAUGUAUUUAGCUAACCAAUACUAAUAGGUCGUGAGGCUUAACCAC
rnacentral:rRNA from 1 species